rnacentral:lncRNA from 1 species
AGAUGAAGAGGGGUCUGUUCCCCACGUGGAGGAGUCGGAUCCAUGUGGGUCCCUUUCAACUCAGGAUGUUCAGGCUGAGAGCUGGGGUUGUUCAGCCUGGGGAAGCGAAGGCUCUCUGAAUACCUCAGAGCCCCUUCCAAUGCCUAAAGGGGCUCCAGGAGAGCUGGAGAGGGACUUUGGACAAGGUCAUGAAGGGACAGGAAGGGAGCGAGACGGGGAAUGGCUCCACACUGACACAGGGCAGAGUUUAGAUUAGGUAUCAGGAAGAAAUUCUCUCUGAGGGUGGUGAAACCCUCACACAGGUUUCCCUAAGAAGCUGUGGCUGCCCCAUCCCUGGAAGUGUCCAAGCCCGGGAUGGAUGGGGCUCUGAGCCAUCUGGUUUAGUGGAAGAUGUCCGUGCCUGGAAAGAGGGUUGGACUAAGUGAUCUUUAAGGUCUGUUCCAAACCAAACCCUUCUGUGAUUCUACCAUUCUCUCACAUCAGGGCUCCACUGAGCCUUCACUCACUGUCUGCAACGUGUACAUAGAGAGAUGAAGUUCAGUCACUUCAAAAGCCCCACAGAUUCAACCUCCAGCAGGUUUGUGGUGCAGCCAGGAAACCAUACAAGUGUUAAAAUCAUCAGCACUCAGCUUUUCCCCACCUCAAACCCAUGCAGGGCUUUGUGCCUCCCCAGCAGCUCAGUGUCUGUGCAGUCAUUAGCUGUGCCGAUGCACACGAUAAAUACAGUUUUUUUCCCGCCUGUGUUGCAAUGGGGCCCUGCUGGAGCUGCCUGGGCAUGCCUGGACUCCCGUGGUAGCAGCCAAAGAGGGGGAAAAUCUCCGCCUAGAUACAGCAAAACCUGUUUGCAAGGCUGUGGAGAGCCCAACACAACACACAUGGGGUGUUUGCAGAGGACACAGAGGAGCACAGCUGACACAGCACUGCUCUUUGCACCUUUAUUGUUUUUAUCCAGCCAAACGUUGCCUGACACUCACUUCUCCAGGGAUACAUUUCCCAAGUGGAUGUUUCUAAAAUGCCUCGUCCUCCAUUACCCAGCCUCACACAAACGCUCCUUCUUUGCUGCCCAUCAGCAAAACUCCAAUUUUUGCAGCAUUUCCCUUCAUCUGUGGUCCCUGGGCUGUAGCCACAUUGCAGCAGGGGUGUCCUUUUGUGUGCAGAGUAUGACCUGUUAG